CACGAGCUACUUGUGCGAAACUUAACAAUUCCCGGAUGUAUUAUUAAGGAGCGCGCAGCUUAUAUUCUGAUAUGAGAACGCAUCAAUCAUGGGAUACGAUGUGGGCGUAUAGACAAAAUAAAAGAUCGCCGAUAUAAAAAAUCUAAAAAAAAUUAUUGCACAGAAAGGACCAAAAGUCGAUGUGACAAAAUAACUAAAACAAUAUACAUCCGACGAUAUAUAUUGACCGCAGAUUAAGUCUUUAUGUACAACCUCCCUCACGACAAAGAAAAACGAGUACACACUCUUGCUGA
rnacentral:lncRNA from 1 species